CCAGUAUUUUAUGAGGAGUGCCGCCCGCUGUUUUUCCAGGCCACCUUUCCCCAGAAGGCUCACCGAUGCCCCUGUAUCCAGUAGUCCCAUCAGCGUCCUCGGGCCCAACUUCACUCGUGCGAAUGGCCUGUCAUCCUGACGCAUGGCCGAGUGGACUGCUGCACACACCUGGAGCCGCCUCCUCUUGCGCCCCUGGAACCUGUCCCGAGCCCGCUGUGCUCUGACUUCUCCCGUUCGGAUACUCUCAUCGACUUCGUUUACCAUUAUCCGAUUCCUGUUCGUACUGCCGCUAUCUUUCCUUCGGGGGUAUCUAAUUUAGCGUUGGAGGGCCUUUCUAUUGGCUGCUUCGCGGCGACGUGGAACUCGACUCCUCCAAUUGCGUCGUGCUCCUUUUCGCGUUUCCCGGCCGACAUUUAGGGCAUUUAGGGAGGAUGACCCCGGCCAGCCCGCACUUGUAGCAGAACAGGUUACGCACGGCCGACUCACACUCAAAAUAGGUGUGACCCGGCUGAGCGCAAUUCCAGCCCUUCAGCUGGGUGCGAUCGAUUCCGGAUUC